CCUACGUGAGGCUGCAGUAGGGAAUCUUCCACAAUGGGCGAAAGCCUGAUGGAGCAACGCCGCGUGGGUGAAGAAGGUCUUCGGAUCGUAAAACCCUGUUGUUAGAGAAGAAAGUGCGUGAGAGUAACUGUUCACGUUUCGACGGUAUCUAACCAGAAAGCCACGGCUAACUACGUGCCAGCAGCCGCGGUAAUACGUAGGUGGCAAGCGUUAUCCGGAUUUAUUGGGCGUAAAGGGAACGCAGGCGGUCUUUUAAGUCUGAUGUGAAAGCCUUCGGCUUAACCGGAGUAGUGCAUUGGAAACUGGGAGACUUGAGUGCAGAAGAGGAGAGUGGAACGCCAUGUGUAGCGGGGAAAUGCGUAGAUAUAUGGAAGAACACCAGUGGCGAAAGCGGCUCUCUGGUCUGUAACUGACGCUGAGGUUCGAAAGCGUGGGUAGCAAACAGGAUUAGAUACCCGAGUAGUC
rnacentral:rRNA from 1 species